rnacentral:rRNA from 1 species
GACGAACGCUGGCGGCGUGCUUAACACCUGCAAGUCGAACGGAAAGGCCCUGCUUUUGUGGGGUGCUCGAGUGGCGAACGGGUGAGUAACACGUGAGUAACCUGCCCUUGACUUUGGGAUAACUUCAGGAAACUGGGGCUAAUACCGGAUAGGAGCUCCUGCUGCAUGGUGGGGGUUGGAAAGUUUCGGCGGUUGGGGAUGGACUCGCGGCUUAUCAGCUUGUUGGUGGGGUAGUGGCUUACCAAGGCUUUGACGGGUAGCCGGCCUGAGAGGGUGACCGGCCACAUUGGGACUGAGAUACGGCCCAGACUCCUACGGGAGGCAGCAGUGGGGAAUAUUGCACAAUGGGCGGACGCCUGAUGCAGCAACGCCGCGUGCGGGAUGACGGCCUUCGGGUUGUAAACCGCUUUCGCCUGUGACGAAGCGUGAGUGACGGUAAUGGGUAAAGAAGCACCGGCUAACUACGUG